UUCGCAAUGCCCGAAAGGGUGACGAAGCGACGCCGCGUGGGUGAGGAAGGCCUUCGGGUUGUAAAGCCCUGUCAGGAGUUAAGAAAUGUAAGUGCGCUAAUAUCGCAUUUAUUUGACGAAGGCUCCAAAGGAAGUCACGGCUAACUCUGUGCCAGCAGCCGCGGUAAUACAGAGGUGGCAAGCGUUGUUCGGAAUUAUUGGGCGUAAAGAGCACGUAGGUGGGUUUGUAAGUCAGAUGUGAAAGCCUUCUGUUCAACGGAAGAAUUGCAUCUGAAACUGCAAGUCUUGAGUGUAGGAGGGGAGAAUGGAACUUCUGGUGGAGCGGUGAAAUGCGUAGAUAUCAGAAGGAACGCCGGCGGCGAAAGCGAUUCUCUGGCCUAUUACUGACACUCAGUGUGCGAAAGCUAGGGGAGCAAACGGGAUUAGGUACCCCGGUAGUCCUAGCCGUAAACGAUGGGCACUAAGUAGAGGGGUUUU
rnacentral:rRNA from 1 species